AUGGAGGACUUUGAUUGUAUGUUUGAGAUGACAGAUUUUGAUGUAGCUGACAUAGGUAUGGACGAGUAUUGUGAUGUACUAGAGGUGGAAGAUUUUACAGUGGAGAUGGAAGAUUUUACAGUGGAGAUGGAAGAUUUUACAGAGGAGAUGGAAGAUUUUACAGUGGAGAUGGAAGAUUUUACAGAGGAGAUGGAAGAUUUUACAGAGGAGAUGGAAGAUUUUACAGAGGAGAUGGAAGAUUGUACAGUGGAGUGGGAAGAUUGUACAGUGGAGGAUGAAGAAGAGGCCAAAAAGGAAGAUCGUAAAAGACGCCAGCAGCGUUCCCGGCAACCACGCCAGCAGUGUUCCCAGCAGCGUUCCCUGAUUAAUGACUAUUUUUGUUGGUCUGCAUUCAACACCAUUCUUUGCAACUGUCUUCUGCUGGGAACAAUGGCCGUGGUCUUCUCUCAUGAGGUGAACAGGAGGAUUGCGAGAAAGGACAUGAAGGGGGCACGGCAGUGCAGUGGUCAUGCUUUCAGGACCAACGUAGCUGCUUUGCUGUUGACAGUCUGUGGAUUGGUCUUGUUCGUGGUCUUUAUCCUAAAACACUCCUAAAAAACAGUGUAACGCAAGGUCCUCUCCGUUACCUAGACUCCCUGGCUAAUUUUGCAUAUUGUUAUGUUACAUGCAUGAAGUUAUAUCAUUCACAAUAUUUAUAGCAUAUAGUGAUAACUACUAAUGAUAAAUAAUGUUCAGACUAAGAACACAAUAUGGAUUUAGAUUCUUUACUGUAUUUCCAAUCUGUAAUGUUUUGGUGUUGCAAUGUGUCCACAUUGGUUGGUGGAUUAGCCUGCAAGGAGUGUGUUGUUAUGCCAUAUUGUAAUGUAUAGCAUUCCCAUUGUGCGUAUGGAUAUUUAGAAGAGUCAAUAUCGUUGAACUAAAUGUUAAAUGCAUGUACAGUUAUGCUCAAAAGUUUGCAUACCCUUGGAGAAUUGAUAAUAUAUGUACCAUUUAUAAAGUAACAUGAGUGAGCAGUCUUUUAUUUCUUAUGGGAUACACAUUCAAUUGUAGGUCAUAAAAGAAUGGCACAAUAAUAAAACAAAACAUGGCAGCCAAGAAAUAAAAUAACUGACCCCUGUUCAAAAGUCUGCAUACCCUUAGUUCUUAAUGCUGUGUAUUGUUGCCUUUAGCUUUAAUGACAGUGUGCAGUCUUUUGUAAUAGUUGUCUAUGAGGCCCUGAAUUCUUGCAGGUGGUAUAGCUGCCCAUUCAUCUUGGCAAAAUGCCUCCAGGUCAUGCAAAGUCUCUGGUCGUCUUGCAUGAAACGCAUGUUUGAGAUCUCCCCAGACUGGCUCGAUGAUAUUAAAGUCAGGAGACUGUGAUAGCCACUGCAGAACCUUCACCUUUUUCUGCUGUAACCACUUGAGGGUCAUCUUGGCCUUGUGCUUAGGGUCAUUGUCAUGCUGGAAAAUCCAAUAGGGUCCCAUGCGCAACUUUCAUGCAGAAGAAUGCAAAUUGUCUGCCAGUAUUUUCUGAUAACAGGCUGCAUUCAUCUUGCCAUCACAAGAUUCCCUGUGCCUUUAGAACUCACACACCCCGAAAACAUCAGUGAGCCACCACCAUGCUUCACAGUGGGGAUGGUAUUCUGUUCACUAUAGGUCUUGUUGAUCCCUCUCCAAACAUAGCACUUUUGGUUGUGACCAUAAAGCUUUAUUUUGGUCUUGUCACUCCAAAUUACAGUGUGCCAGAAGCUGUGAGGCGUGUCAAGUUGUUGUCGGGUAUAUUGUAACCAAGCUUUUUUGUGGCCUUGGCGCAGUAAAGGCUUCUUUCUGGCAACUCAACCAUGCAGCUCAUUAUUGUUCAAGUAUUGUCGUAUUGUGCUCCUUGAAACAACCACAC
rnacentral:lncRNA from 1 species